rnacentral:rRNA from 1 species
UACGGGGGGAGCAAGCGUUGUUCGGAUUUACUGGGCGUAAAGGGCGCGUAGGCGGCGUGACAAGUCACUUGUGAAAUCUCCGGGCUUAACCCGGAGCGGCCAAGUGAUACUGUCGUGCUAGAGUGCGGAAGGGGCUACUGGAAUUCUCGGUGUAGCGGUGAAAUGCGUAGAUAUCGGGAGGAACACCUGCGGCGAAGGCGGGUAGCUGGGCCGACACUGACGCUGAGGCGCGAAAGCCAGGGGAGCGAACGGG